AACCGCAUGACCUUUUUUAUCAUUUUCAACCCAUCGCGAGAUGUGAACCACAUGCAACAGUUCGUUGAACUACAAAUCCCCGGGAGUUGUCACCCUUCACUCACCGCACUACAACCUCACGCGCUAUGAGCUACCCGGAUGCAUGCCCCAUACAAUGAAAGCACAUCAUCGCUAAAAUUUGAGAUAAGCAACACCAAAAUCCAGUUAAACGCUUGACAGCAAAAGAAGCAGAUCGAAGCACGGUUGUGGGCAAAUUACAAUUAAAAAUUAGGUAUAGCGAGCUGCACAUCUCGCUCCUACCUAACUGCAUCAUUCCUCGAACCUUACUACACAUGUCUCUCUCGUAAUAAAAUGUUGAAGGAAAGGUCUUCACAAUCUCUGGUCAGUUGUUGGACGUGAUCGGAGCGUCUUCUGUCCACGCCGGAGCUGCUAGAAAAACACGGGGACCGCCCCACACUCACUGCAGUUCACACAUGCAGCAUCGGACUGCACAUACUCACCGUCCGCACUACAUGGAGGAAAAGAACAGAGAUGUCAGGAUCUGCACUGGGUGGGAGGAGCACAGGAUUGUGCAACAGGGUGUGGGCGAUGCCAAUUGUCAGCAAUAGAUGGUCGUCCCAACCAUUAUCCUGGAAGGAACCAUCACUGGUGGAGGUCGCCACCCAGGAUCUACAACCAUCCAAGCUAGAUCUGCCUCAGGCCACACCGACUGAGGGCCUUGGCAGAUACGCCCGGCACGAUGACGCAUGGAGGAAGGUGGAGGAGAGGCCGUGCUCAGUGACAUGCCUGAUCUAGCAGCGACGCGACGUGAUGUACUCGUGGAAGGAGGUAUGCGCAAGGAGGACAGGGCGGCCCGACCUCUGUUCCAUGGAGGCGGCGGUGUUGCGGCUCCGAGAUGGCGGACGUCGUUCGGAUCUCGAGUGAUGACAGAGGAUGGAUCCAGUGGCGCGGAAGAGGGUGGCUAGAGGCGGCGGGGCAAGAGAAGGUGCAUACGUGGGCGGCGAGGCUGGAUCCAGUCAUAUCCGUGCAGGGGAGGCGCCGUGGAGCACGGGCAGAGCACAUCGUGGCGACCGAGGGAGGUGGGAGGAGGCGCCAUGGGUGGGGUGUUGGAGGGGAGAGAAGGUGGACAUGGUGGGAGGGAUGGGUAGGUGGGGGUUGAACGGAUAAGGUGGCUACGGAAGGGACUGAACCGGGGUUGUGUGGGAGGUCGCCAGGGUGGGGAUAGCAUGGUGAAGAAGGUGGGUUGAAGCCUUGAGGGUGGGGGUGGGUGGGAUCAUGGGGAUUCCCUUUGGUUUGGAUCGAGGUUCUGU
rnacentral:lncRNA from 1 species